AGCAAAUGUGCAAAAAACCACAGAAAACCCAUGUCUGCCGUUAAAUCCAUGACAGCUUUAUGCACGGCAACAAGUUGUUUACCAGAGCAGAGGAAGGACGAACAGGGCGGAGUUGAAUUCCAAGAGUUUUGUUUUCGAAUAACGCCUGCCCAAACCUGUUGCGUCAUCACAACAAGCGACUGCGCCAUCUACUUAUUUUCUGACAUUUUACGAAUUUUUUUGUUUUAUUUUCGAAAGAAAUUCCAAGUAUGUGAGAGGAAUAUGAAUGUAGAAGAAGAAUGCAGCGAACAGUAUUUCUGAAUGGCGUUAUAUAGGGAGCAAAUAAACUGCUGACUUGUUACAUUUUAUGUGCAUUUUAACUGAAGAUGUGUUAAAAAAAACGAAAACCCUGUAAGUCAAUAUUUCACUUCCUGUAAUGACAGAAAUCCCCCAGAAAAUAAAUCAUAGUCACAGCUUUCACGUAGGCCUUCAUCCAGUUUUAUUAUUAUUAUUAUUAUUAGGUGAGAUAUUAAUGCAGCUCCAGUUAGAUUUCCUAACGAUACAGUUAAAUGAACAGAAGGCACAGGAAUGAUAUAUAAAGACUGUCGUUUCUGUAACUGGUGUCCUGUGCAUUUUCGUGGCUCAGUGGAUUUGGUACAACAGUUCUUUUUAAAAGUGGGAUGUUUAACGCUUUAUUUUUUUAAUGUAUGGCGCCCUCUGCUGGAAUAAUACUUUCUGUGCAGUCGGAUCACAGCGUGUCUGCAGGACUGAGGCUGUAAUUAUCAGGGAGGAAAAAGAAACAUUAAUUGUUUUAAGAUGUAAGAUAGAAGAAAGGAGAGGAAGAUGAGGGUUAUCUUGACAGGUGCAGCUUCGAUAAACAAUGUGGGACAGCUGCACAGCUACACCACAUCCUCUGGUGUUCACGGUCAGGGGAGAUCAGAGGUCGCAGUUUAGUUUAAAUAAACUGAGUGAACCUGCAGUUGCUACACUGGCCGGAAAACAGCUGUGAUGGCUCAUCUAACAUCUGGUUUGUUUGUUUGCUCUUGGAAAGGUUGCUUUCAUAAAUCCAUCAUUUAUCCAGGUAAAAGUGUCACUGACAUAAUAAAAAAAGUGUUUUUCAAGAGAGAUCUGAUCAUGAGGGCUGCGGAAAUUAUGACAAAUAUUUUCGAUAAAGUUAUUUUAAGUAACUAAAAAAGGAAAAGAGGACUGGUUGGAUUAUAAUGUACAGUAACGCAGUAACCAAGAUACGUGCAAAAUUGGCCAUUUCUUUAUUUUAUAUACUAAACCUCGUAAACCUUGUUUUACAUAGAAGGAUUUUUUAAACCAAUAUAAGC
ensembl:lncRNA